GCGGUAAUACGUAGGGUGCGAGCGUUAAUCGGAAUUACUGGGCGUAAAGCGUGCGCAGGCGGUUUUGUAAGACAGAGGUGAAAUCCCCGGGCUCAACCUGGGAACUGCCUUUGUGACUGCAAGGCUAGAGUACGGCAGAGGGGGAUGGAAUUCCGCGUGUAGCAGUGAAAUGCGUAGAUAUGCGGAGGAACACCGAUGGCGAAGGCAAUCCCCUGGGCCUGUACUGACGCUCAUGCACGAAAGCGUGGGGAGCAAACAGGAUU
rnacentral:rRNA from 1 species